UAAACAAAAACUCAGACCAUUAAGUCCAAA
rnacentral:piRNA from 1 species